GGCUCAUUUGGUGAAGUGUUGAGUUCAGGUCCUGAAUAUCUGUGUUAAUUUUCUGCUUCGAUGAUUUGUCUAAUACUGUCAAUGGGAUGUUGAAGUUUCCCACUAUUAUUGCAUAGGGAUCUAAGUCUCUUCCUAGGUCUCUAAGAACUUGCUUUAUGAAUUUGGAUGCCCCUGUAUUGGAUGCAUGUAUAGUUAGGAUAAUUAGCUCUUCUUUUGCAUUAAUCUCU